rnacentral:lncRNA from 10 species
GCAGGAUAGUGUUCAGUCCUAAUCACUGGAACCUGUGUAGACGUAACAAAGGGGAAUUUAGGCUGCAAAUCAACUGACCUUCAAAUAGAUUCACCUGGAUUAUCCAGGUGAGCCUGUUGUAAUCACAAGGUUGCUUAAAAGAGCCCCGGCCAGGACCGGUGGCUUACGCCUGUAAUCCCGGCACUUUGGGAGGCCGAGGCGGGCAGAUCUCCUGAGGUCAGGAGUUCAAGACCAGCCUGCCCAACACGGCGAAGUCCCGUCUCUACUGAAAAUACGAAAAAUUAGCCAGGAGUGAUGACGGGUGCCUGUAAUCCCAGCUACUCAGGAGGCUGAGGCAGGACAAUCACUUGAACCCGGGAGGCGGAGGUUGCAGUGAGCCAAGAUCACGCCACUGCACUCCAGCCUGCGCGACAGAGUGAAACUCUAUCUCAAAAAAAAAAAAAAAAAGCCCCAGGAGGAGGCGAGGAGAGAAGGAAGGCACCAGGUGCAAGUUGCUGACACCGAAGCUGGAGGAAGAAGCUCAGAGACAAGCGAAGUGGGGCACCUGUAGCCCAGGGAGUGGGCAAAGAAAUGGAUUCUCCCCCAGAGCCUCCACAAGGAGUGCAACCUUCCUCGAACUGAGCCUAGAAAUAUUUGGUGGUGGCAGGACAAAGAAGACAGAAGGUGGAGCUUGGCUUGUGAGGGCCUUGUGGAUGCCUGCCUCUGAGGGUACAGG